rnacentral:lncRNA from 1 species
AGCCAUUCCAUGCAAAACGUCACAGUGGCAAUCAGAAAAGGCAUCUCUGAAAUGUACAAUGAAGAAGGACGUUAAAAGAAAAUUUAUUUACCCAGAGUCAGUGAAUAAUACAGUUUAGUCUUUAUGUAAAAGGCUCAGUCAGAGCAAAUGAUGGGGUGUCCUUGAGGGGUUCCAGAAAUUUGAACCAAGGAUGAGAAUCUGAGAAUUUGUUGCUGCUUCAUUCAAUUUCUGUCACCUCAAUGGCUACUCAUUCUCUUUUCUACCCCCUACAGUCAUGAACAAUCUGGAUUUCAUGUCACAAGAGGAAACAGAGUCAUCACUUCAAGUACUGCACCAAUCAAGUCUGUUCUGUAACCAGUGAGGAACUGAGGUCUCCCAGCAACCACCUGUGUGAAGUUGGAAGCGGCGCUCUCUCUCUCUCUCUCUCUCCAGCAACCAGUGAGGAACUGAGGUCUCCCAGCAACCACCUGUGUGAAGUUGGAAGUGGAUUCCUUAGCCUCAGUCAAACCUUGAAACGACUGAAAACCUGGUCAACAGCUUGUCUAAAACCUCAUGAGAGACCCUAAGCCAGACUCGCUUACCUACAGAAGCCUUUAUCUGUAUCUCUGAAUAAAUGUUUGUUAUUUUAAGCUACUACAUUUUGGUGUUGCUACAUAGCGAUAGAUAACUAAUAUGCUAAAUCAGGGAUUGGCAAACACCCUCAAAGGACCAGAUAGUAAAUAUUUUGGGAUUUGCAGGCCACACAAUGUCUGCUGAAUGCAGGUGCAUGGAGGUCUAGGCCCAAAGUCUUUUUGGGCAUUAAGGGAAAUUCAUCUCCGUCUUUUUCUAAAGCAUUCAUUUUAUUUUCUACCCAUUCUACAGAGACUACCCAUUCUACAGAAAUUUCCUCAAUGGAGAAAAAGGACUAAAACAUUAUACUUUUUCAUUAUUACCCUUAUUUCUGCAGAUAUUUAUCUUCCAUUCAGUCCAGUCACUUGAAGACAUAUAGAGAACAACACAAUCAGGUCACUCAACAAAAACUACCUAUGUACAAUGAAUGAAGUGGCAACAUAUGAACAUUUAUUGUGUGUAAGUCGCCCUCAAGUAGCUAAACCAUGGACAGUAAAACAGGAAAGUUAUCAAGGAACAUAAGAAAUGUAAAACGGAAUGUCAUGGAAAGGUCAAGGAAGGAGAGAUAGUUCAGCUGAGCAGAUAGAGAAAAAGCUCAGUGCAAGAAUGUGGCAUUUGAAAUGAGCUAUGAAGAGUUAGGAGGUUGUAAUGACUUAGGGGAAGGGCUUUCCAAAGACACCAGGACCAACAAUAAGAAUUCUUGAUUUUUCAGGGAAUCAUAAACAGCAUACAGAUGUCCCUAGCCUUAGCAAACUGUAGCAGAUUCAGAUCUUAGACCACAUGGAGUGGUGGAAAGUACAUAAGCUUUGAAUAUAAAAAGACAUGGAAACUAAGGGAUGAGGUCCAGUCACAAUGUGGUCACUUACUGAUUUUACCUUAGAGAAAUUACUUAUCCUCUAGAAGCCUCAAUUUAAUCUUCUGUAAACAUCAAGAGUGAUAAAACAAAUUGUCAGAGAUGUUUGUAUUUGUGAGCAAAAAGCAUAGCUCCUGGUACACGUUAUAUUUUAAAUAAAUGCUAAUUAUUUUAUUCAUAUAAAGUUUCUCCAUAGCAAAGAUACCAAGACCUAAAUACUUCCUUAUAUGUAGAUAAAUUUCCACUUUAAGAUUACUCCGCAUCUAACUCCUAAAUUCUCUUUCUAAAAUUAACUCUGGGAUUUGGAGACUAGAAUAAUAAAAACCUCACAUGACAUUUUUCCAGGAGCAAGCUACUGAAAAACUGCUAAAUAUAGAAUAUGCAAAGAAGAGGGAAAUGGAAAAUUAUGGACAUAUAGGAAAAUUAUGGCUAUAAAAUUUCAAAGAAGUCACUGCAAAACUGCAAGUGCUGAAAUUUCCUAUAAAUCUGAAUUGUAUUUAUUUUAAGAGAAAUAUUUUGGAAUUUUGGGUUUGAGAAACUCCUCACAUUUUGGCCUACUACUUCCAAUUACACUGGGACUUCACUAUCAGUCCUCACACUACAGAUGUGUCAUUAUCUAAACAAUCAUUUUCAUUUCACAGAAAUCCCAGGACUGUUUCUCUAACAAUUGAGCCAUAACAGUGCUGUUCCCAUGGUUACCAAAAGUUCUAAUUUCAGUUCCUCAAUAUGCAUUUUAUCAUGUAAGAUUAUACAAUGCUUCAGAAUAGGCCACUCUUAGUUCCACAUGUUCUUCUUUCUAUUAUUUUUCUCUAAGUUUCUCACACCCAAUCUCCACUGAAACUUCCUGUUUUGCUCAUUUUUUGACUAAAGUUUGUGUGCCCAACCUCUGUAGUGAUCACGUUUCUAUAUAAUAAAUUCAGGGCAAAGAGGCAAAGCUAAGUAGAAGGAAUUAAGCAAAGAUUAGAAGAAUCAGCCUCUUGUCAGUCUCCAUGGCCCCAUAAUCAUGGUGGCAAGGGAAAAACAAUGUGAAUCCCAGGAUAUGAGGUCCUUAGAGAUUGAGUGUUUCCAUUUUAUCUGUUUGAAUUUCUCAACAAUACAGGAAUUGCGAAGUUCACAGCUCUAGAAGUUGCUUUCUCUAGAGAUUGGGGUCUUACACCAGAGUCCAUAGAAUGGGCUUCAGAGGAGGUCAUCGAGUACCUGAAAGUAUGUGUAGAGGUGUGUAUGUGUGUUUGUGUGUCACUCCAUGUAGCUAAGGACAUUCACUUUAAUAGCCUUAAUCAGAUUCUCAGAGACAUCUAAACACCAAAGACGGUUUAGAAAAACACUUCUCUUAAACAAGAUCUGUGUUUUGUGACAGGGCCCUGAAAAGCCAAGUUGUUAAUAAAAAUCAUUUUUGUAAAAUUACUAUUAUAUCCUCAUUCAUCGAAGGGGCAUUAAAAUGUGGCAGAAAAUUUUUGGAAAAUUAGUACAGAAAUGUGUAACAGGACCCAUAAUGAUGUCCUUCCUCUUGGAUCCAGUGAUUGCACGUCAAGGAAUGUAUUUUUAAGAAACAAGUUAAGAAAGGUAAAAGAGUAAAGAGGUGUUCGUUUUGAUAUUAUUAAUAACCAGGGAAAAUUAGAACGUAAUAUGAGAGACUAAUUGAGCAAAUAGUGUGACAUCAACACAAUACAACAUUAUAAGGCCACAACUGCAAAUAUUCUCUAGGAAAAUAGACAAUAUUUAUGAUGAAAUAUUAAAUCAAAAAGUAAAUAUGAUUAUGUGUAAUAUGAGUAAAACUGGGACAAAAUAUGCCAAUACUUGAAAAAUAAUUUGCAAAAUAGUUGUACUAAAGCAAAGAUAUUUUAUGUGACUUUUUCAUUUUAAAAUUCUCCCAGACUUUAAUAUCCUAUUAAAUAAAUGUUGAAUUAGAAAUAAAAGAGUGACUUCUGUUAAAUGUGGC